AGCUUUGCACAGUGGCAGGAUUGUGGCCAGUGAGGUUUGUCCAAGCCACAAUCAUUGCUAAUUGAAAAUUUUUAUUAAAAGCUUAAAUUUAGCCUUUAAAUUUUAAGUCAUGAAUCCAUCUUGA
rfam:Cavia porcellus supercont2_29 genomic scaffold, whole genome shotgun sequence.